UACGAAGGGGGCUAGCGUUGUUCGGAAUUACUGGGCGUAAAGCGCGUGUAGGCGGGGCUUUAAGUCAGGGGUGAAAUGCCAAGGCUCAACCUUGGAACUGCCUUUGAUACUGGAGACCUUGAGUCCGGGAGAGGUGAGUGGAAUUGCGAGUGUAGAGGUGAAAUUCGUAGAUAUUCGGAAGAACACCAGUGGCGAAGGCGGCUCACUGGCCCGUUACCGACGCUCAGGCGCGACAGCGUGGGGAGCAAACAGG
rnacentral:rRNA from 1 species